rnacentral:rRNA from 1 species
GACGUAGGGCGCAAGCGUUGUCCGGAUUUAUUGGGCGUAAAGAGCUCGUAGGCGGUUUGUCGCGUCGGCUGUGAAAACUCGGGGCUCAACCCCGAGCCUGCAGUCGAUACGGGCAGACUAGAGUUGCGGUAGGGGAGACUGGAAUUCCUGGUGUAGCGGUGAAAUGCGCAGAUAUCAGGAGGAACACCGGUAGGCGAAGGCGGGUCUCUGGGCCGUAACUGACGCUGAGGAGCGAAAGCGUGGGGAGCAAACAGG